UCAUGCGGAUCACAAAUAUGAUUGCCAUACUGGAUCGGUCAAGGCAACGACCGCCUCCAGUGCUGUUGACCAGCAGGGUGCCUUGUGGAAAUUGAACUACUGUAGGUCGAAGACCAUCAAAGAGGAGAGGAGGAAGGUGGGUUAGAAGUGUCUUGCCAUUUUCUUGUGCAUGUCUGAGCUGUGUUCAUUGUUAUUCUUGGUUUUCUAGUGGUUGACCUUCAGUCUAUUUUCUAAACUUAAUUCCUUCUUUCUUUAUUUAUUUGUGGCUUAUGUACUGAAUCCUGGCUGCUAUGACUAUGAAUGUUGGAAGCCUUCAAACAAAGCUGCUCAGUGUGUGUUUUCUGCCUACGCCUUUAAUUCUUUACACAAAUUACAGAACACAAGUCUUUCGAUUCAGUAUCUGUGAAGCAGAAUUGGAAGAUUUUCCAGUCCAGUCUGUACUACAUCUCAACUGAGAAAAAAACCUGGGAUGAGGGACGACAAAACUGCACAGACAGAGGAGCAGACCUGGUGAUCAUAAACAGCAGAGAAGAACAGGAGUUUGUAGAAAGUCUGUGGAAGAGCAAAGGCAGUGGGAUUUCUAUUGGCCUGACUGACCGUGAGAAAGAAGGAGUUUGGAAAUGGGUGGACGGCUCAGCACUGACCACUGCGUACUGGGACAGUGGAAAUGGAUUUUCAGACAAUGACGACUGCGUUGUGAAUGGAUAUUCUGGAGGACAAAAAUGGUACGACAGACCCUGUAAUGAACCGUAUUACUGGAUGUGUGAGAUAACGUUUCUCCAGUGACUUCAUAGUCAGACAGCGUUCAGUAUAUAAAGCUUCUCUCCUGUGGAAAAAUAUGUAGCUGUGUUGAUAUUUGCCAUCAAAGUGGUUGAUUUGGUCGUACAGAGUUGUAGACUCUUCUUUUUAACCCGUGAAGUGUUGAGCGCAGUUAGGUGUGUAUAGUUUACUCUCAGCUUCUUGACGACAUUUGACAUUUUAUACCAAGUUUGUCUGUCCCAGCAUUGCACGGCUCAAAAGUUCACUAACUCAUUUGGAGUAGUAGUUGCUGCCUGUUGGAGAUUCAGUAGUUUAUAGUAGUUUAUACGACCCUGUUUCCAAAAAAGUUGGGAUGUUGUGCCAAAUGUAAAUGAACACAGAAUAUAAUGAUGUGCAAAUGAUGUAUACCCUGUAUUAAACUAAAAAAACACAAAGACAACAUGAAAUGUUGAAACUGAGAGUUUCUUUUGAAUUUGACACCAGCAACAAACCCAACAGGGUCAAACAGGGUCAUACUCUUAUAGUUAUAAUGGUGUGUAUUCGUUUGUUGAGGAUGAGGGAGGUCAUGUGUGUGUACUGUAUGAUUCCUUAUUGCUUCUCAAGAGUUUUUUCAUUCAAACUGAUAUUUUCAUAUAAAAUCUUGCAGUCAUUGUGAAAUAGUAAACCUGUCUUAUAGUGUCAUUCUUGUCUUCAUAUAUCCUCACUUGUCUUCAUUACUGCAUGCUGUUGCUGUAAAGUAAUUGUAUUUUUUCUGUAUGUACUUUCAACUGUAUUUCAUCAACUGUGUUUCAUGUGUUUAAAUACCCAGAUUUUAAGCAUUAAUAAAGAGUU